rnacentral:rRNA from 1 species
UACAGAGGGGGCAAGCGUUGUUCGGAAUUACUGGGCGUAAAGGGCGCGUAGGCGGCCUUCUAAGUCGAACGUGAAAUCCCCGGGCUCAACCCGGGAACUGCGUCCGAUACUGGAAGGCUUGAAUCCGGGAGAGGGAUGUGGAAUUCCAGGUGUAGCGGUGAAAUGCGUAGAUAUCAGGAGGAACACCGGUGGCGAAGGCGGCGACCUGGGUCGAGACUGACGCUGAGGCGCGAAAGCGUGGGGAGCAAACAGG